UUGGCAACCCGCUCGGGUCCCCUUCCACACUGUGGAAGCUUUGUUCUUUCGCUCUUUGCAAUAAAUCUUGCUACUGCUCACUCUUUGGGUCCACACUGCUUUUAUGAGCUGUAACACUCACCGCGAAGAUCUGCAGCUUCACUCCUGAGCCCAGCGAGACCACGAGCCCACCGGGAGGAACAAACAACUCCAGAUGUGCUGCCUUAAGAGCUGUAACACUCACCGCAAAGGUCUGCAGCUUCACUCCUGAGCCAGCGAGACCACGAACCCACCAGAAGGAAGAAACUCCAAAAACAUCUGAACAUCAGAAGGGACAGACUCCAGACGCGCCACCUUAAGAGCUGUAACACUCACCACGAGGGUUCGCGGCUUCAUCCUUGAAGUCAGUGAGACCAAGAAUCCACCAAUUCCGGACACAUUUUGGCGACCAUGAAGGGACUUUCGCCUAUCACCAAGCGGUGAGACAAUCGCCGAGUGGUGAGACCUUUGCCAAUCGCCAAGCAAAUCGAGGCCAUCAAGCUACAGAUGGUCUUACAAAUGGAACCCCAAAUGAGUUCAACUAACAACUUCUACCGAGGACCCCUGGAUCAACCUGCUGGCACUUCCCCUGGCCUAGAGAGUUCCCCUCUGAAGGACACCACAACUGCAGGGCCCCUUCUUUGCCCCAUCCAGCAGGAAGUAGCUAGAGUGGUCAUCAGCCAAAUUGCCAACAGCAGUUGGGGUGUCCUCUUUAGAGGGGGGAUUGAGAGGUGACAGCAUGCUGGCAGUCCUCAGAGCCCUCACUUGCUCUUGGCACCUCCUCUGCCUGGGCUCCCACUUUGGCAGCAUUUGAGGAGCCCUUCAGCCCACCACUACACUGUGGGAGACCCUUUCUGGGCUGGCCAAGGCUGGAGCCCACUCCCUCAGCUUGCAGGGAGGUGUGGAGGGAGAGGUGCGAGCGGGAACCGGGGCUGCACAUGGCGCUUGUGGGCCAGCUGGAGUUCUAGGUGGGUGUGGGCUUGGAGGGCCCCGCACUCAGAGCAGCCAGCCAGCCCUGCUGGCCCCGGGCAGUGAGCGGCUUAGCACCCGGGCCAGCAGCUGCGGAGGGUGUACUGGGUCCCCCAGCAGUGCCAGCCCACCGGCGCUGCGCUCGAUUUCUCACCGAGCCUUAGCUGCCUUCCCGCGGGGCAGGGCUCAGGACCUGCAGCCCGCCAUGCCUAAGCCUUCCCCCGCCUCUGUGGGUUCCUGUGCAGCCCAAGCCUCCCCGACGAAUACCAUCCCCUGCUCCAUGGCACCCAGUCCCAUCGACCACCCAAGGGCUGAGGAGUACGAGCUCAUGGCGCGGGACUGGCAGGCAGCUCCACCUGCAGCCCCAGUGUGGGAUCCACUGGGUGAAGCCAGCUGGGCUCCUGAGUCUGGUGGGGACGUGGAGAGUCUUUAUAUCUAGCUCAGGGAUUGUAAACACACCAAUCAGCACCCUGUGUUUAGCUCAAGGUUUGUGAGUGCACCAAUCAACACUCUGUAUCUAGCUGCUCUGGUGAGGACGUGGAGUACCUUUAUGUCUAGCUCAAGGAUUGUAAAUACACCAAUCGGCACUCUGUAUCUAGCUCAAGGUUUGUAAAUACACCAAUCAGCACCCUGUGUUUAGCUCAAGGUUUGUGAGUGCACCAAUCGACACCGUGUAUCUAGCUGCUCUGGUGGGGCCGUGGAGAACCUUUAUGUCUAGCUCAGGGAUUGUAAAUACCCCAAUCAGCACCCUGUGUUUAGCUCAAGGUUUGUGAGUGCACCAAUCGACACUCUGUAUCUAGCUGCUCUGUUGGGGCCCUGGAGAACCUGUGUGUCGAAACUCUGUAUCUAACUAAUCUGAUGGGGACGUGGAGAACCUUUGUAUCUAGCUCAGGGAUUGUAAACACACCAAUCAGCACCCUGACAAAACAGGCCACUCGGCUCUACCAAUCAGCAGGAUGUGGGUGGGGCCAUUGUUCUUUCGCUCUUUGCAAUAAAUCUUGCUACUGCUCACUCUUUGGGUCCACGCUGCUUUUAUGAGCUGUAACACUCACCGCGAAGAUCUGCAGCUUCACUCCUGAGCCCAGCGAGACCACGAGCCCACCGGGAGGAACAAACAACUCCAGACGCGCUGCCUUAAGAGCUGUAACACUCACCAUGAAGGUCUGCAGCUUCACUCCUGAGCCAGCGAGACCAGAGACCACGAACCCACCAGAAGGAAGAAACUCCGAACACAUCUGAACAUCAGAAGGGACAGACUCCAGACGCACCACCUUAAGAGCUGUAACACUCACCGCGAGUGUCCGCAGCUUCAUUCUUGAAGUCAGUGAGACCAAGAACCCACCAAUUCCGGACACAGGAUUACUACAGUUAACAAUGAUUUAUUGUACAUUUCAAAAUAGCUAGAAGAGAAGAUUUGACAUGUUUCUAACUCAAAGAAAUGCCAAAUAUUGAGCUGAUGGAUAUCCUGAUUACCCUGAUUUGAUCAUCACACAUUGCAUGCAUGUAUUAAAAUAUCACAUGUACCUAUAAA